CGCUGGCGGCGUGCUUAACACACGCAAGUCGAACGGUAAGGCCCUUCGGGGUACACGAGUGGCGAACGGGUGAGUAACACGUGGGUGAUCUGCCCUGCACUUCGGGAUAAGCCUGGGAAACUGGGUCUAAUACCGGAUAGGACCAUGGACUUCACGGUUUGUGGUGGAAAGCUUUUGCGGUGUGGGAUGGGCCCGCGGCCUAUCAGCUUGUUGGUGGGGUAAUGGCCUACCAAGGCGACGACGGGUAGCCGGCCUGAGAGGGUGUCCGGCCACACUGGGACUGAGAUACGGCCCAGACUCCUACGGGAGGCAGCAGUGGGGAAUAUUGCACAAUGGGCGCAAGCCUGAUGCAGCGACGCCGCGUGAGGGAUGACGGCCUUCGGGUUGUAAACCUCUUUCAAUAGGGACGAAGCGCAAGUGACGGUACCUAUAGAAGAAGCACCGGCCAACUACGUG
rnacentral:rRNA from 1 species